GCUCAGAGGCAGAGCUCGGGGCGUCCCCACAAUGGCCUGGACCCGUCUCCUGCUCCCCCUCCUCACUCUCUGCACAGGUUCUGUGGCCUCUUCUGCGCUGACUCAGCCACCUGCGGUGUCUGUGUCCUUGGGACAGACGGCCAGGAUCACCUGCCAGGGAGACAGCUUAGGAAGCUAUUAUGCUCAAUGGUACCAGCAGAAGCCAGGCCAGGCCCCUGGGCUGGUCAUUUAUGAGGACAGCAAGCGGCCCUCAGGGAUCCCAGACCGAUUCUCUGGUUCCAGCUCAGGCAAAAUUGCCACCCUGACCAUCAGUAGGGCCCAGGCCGAGGACGAGGCUGACUAUUACUGUGAGUCAGCUGACGGCAGUGAUUAUGUUCACAGUGACACAGGCAGACAGGGAAGCAUUGUGUCCUCCUAUGAACUGACUCAGUUGCCCUUGGUGUCGGUGUCCCUGGGACAGACAGCCAGGAUCACAUGUGGGGGGAACAACAUUGGAAGUAAAUAUGUUCAACGGUACCAGCAGAAGCUGGGCCAGGCCCCUGUGCCGGUCAUCUAUGGUGAUGGCAACCGUCCCUCGG